AACCUCCUCAAUGCACUCACGUGCGAAGGGGUUACCUCGAGUGCCAUCUGAAGAAGGUGGCUUUUCCUUGGUCUAAAUAGCCUUGGGAAUAAGAGGGGGGCAAGACUGGUGUCAGCCGCCGCGGUAACACCAGCCCCUCGAGUGGUGGGGAUGAUUAUUUGGCCUAAAGCGUCCGUAGCCGGUUUAGCAAGUCCCCUGUGAAAUCCUGCCGCUUAACGGUAGGGCUUGCGGAGGAUACUACUAGACUAGGAGCCGGGAUAGGUC
rnacentral:rRNA from 1 species